GACGAACGCUGGCGGCGUGCUUAACACAUGCAAGUCGAACGAUGAAGCCCAGCUUGCUGGGUGGAUUAGUGGCGAACGGGUGAGUAACACGUGAGUAACCUGCCCUGGACUCUGGGAUAACCCCGAGAAAUCGGAGCUAAUACCGGAUAGGACCUUGGAUCGCAUGAUUCUUGGUGGAAAGUUUUUCGGUUUGGGAUGGACUCGCGGCCUAUCAGCUUGUUGGUGAGGUAAUGGCUCACCAAGGCGUCGACGGGUAGCCGGCCUGAGAGGGUGACCGGCCACACUGGGACUGAGACACUGCCCAGACUCCUACGGGAGGCAGCAGUGGGGAAUAUUGCACAAUGGGCGCAAGCCUGAUGCAGCGACGCCGCGUGAGGGAUGACGGCCUUCGGGUUGUAAACCUCUUUCAGCACAGACGAAGCGCAAGUGACGGUAUGUGCAGAAGAAGGACCGGCCAACUACGUGCCAGCAGCCGCCGUAACAC
rnacentral:rRNA from 1 species